UACGUAGGGUGCAAGCGUUAAUCGGAAUUACUGGGCGUAAAGCGUGCGCAGGCGGUUGUAUAAGUCAGAUGUGAAAUCCCCGGGCUCAACCUGGGAACUGCAUUUGAGACUGUACGGCUAGAGUGUGGCAGAGGGGGGUGGAAUUCCACGUGUAGCAGUGAAAUGCGUAGAGAUGUGGAGGAACACCGAUGGCGAAGGCAGCCCCCUGGGCCAACACUGACGCUCAUGCACGAAAGCGUGGGGAGCAAACAGG
rnacentral:rRNA from 1 species